GACGAACGCUGGCGGCGUGCUUAACACAUGCAAGUCGAACGGUAAGGCCCUGCCUUUGUGUGUUGCUCGAGUGGCGAACGGGUGAGUAACACGUGAGUAACCUGCCCUUGACUUUGGGAUAACUUCUGGAAACUGCGGCUAAUACCGGAUAGGAGCUCCUGCUGCAUGGUGUGGGUUGGAAAGUUUCUGCGGUUGGGGAUGGACUCGCGGCUUAUCAGCUUGUUGGUGGGGUAGUGGCUUACCAAGGCGUUGACGGGUAGCCGGCCUGAGAGGGUGACCGGCCACACUGGGACUGAGAUACGGCCCAGACUCCUACGGGAGGCAGCAGUGGGGAAUAUUGCACAAUGGGCGGAAGCCUGAUGCAGCAACGCCGCGUGAGGGAUGACGGCCUUCGGGUUGUAAACCGUUUUCGGCAGUGAAGAAGCGAGAGUGACGGUAAUGGGUAAAGAAGCACCGGCUAACUACGUG
rnacentral:rRNA from 1 species